rnacentral:rRNA from 1 species
UACAGAGGUGGCAAGCGUUGUUCGGAAUUACUGGGCGUAAAGGGCGCGUAGGCGGUCUGCUAAGCGUGUGGUGAAAGCUCGGGGCUCAACCCCGAGUCUGCCAUGCGAACUGGUGGACUUGAGCACUGUAGAGGCAGGUGGAAUUCCGGGUGUAGCGGUGGAAUGCGUAGAGAUCCGGAAGAACACCGGUGGCGAAGGCGGCCUGCUGGGCAGUUGCUGACGCUGAGGCGCGACAGCGUGGGGAGCAAACAGG